GUCAAACAUGCUCCUGAUUUUGGGCAUUUUCUUCGCUUUGGCUAGCUAUAGCUGUGUAAACUGUUUGUCUUGCCUGCACUGCACGGACAUCCAGAAUCCUCGCCACUGUAAAUAUGUCACGGCUUGCCAAUUAGGGGAGGUUUGUCUUAUUCACCAGAAAACUAACGUCUUUGGGGAUGUGAUGUUUGACCUGGGUUGUAUACGCGCAUCGGUAGGU